rnacentral:rRNA from 1 species
CCUACGGGUGGCUGCAGUGGGGAAUAUUGGACAAUGGGGGGAACCCUGAUCCAGCCAUGCCGCGUGUGUGAAGAAGGCCCUCGGGUUGUAAAGCACUUUCAGUGAGGAAGAACGCCUGGUGGUUAAUACCCAUCAGGAAAGACAUCACUCACAGAAGAAGCACCGGCUAACUCCGUGCCAGCAGCCGCGGAAAUACGGAGGGUGCGAGCGUUAAUCGGAAUUACUGGGCGUAAAGCGCGCGUAGGUGGCUUGAUAAGCCGGUUGUGAAAGCCCCGGGCUCAACCUGGGAACGGCAUCCGGAACUGUCAAGCUAGAGUGCAGGAGAGGAAGGUAGAAUUCCCGGUGUAGCGGUGAAAUGCGUAGAGAUCGGGAGGAAUACCAGUGGCGAAGGCGGCCUUCUGGACUGACACUGACACUGAGGUGCGAAAGCGUGGGUAGCAAACAGGAUUAGAUACCCCAGUAGUC